UACAGAGGUCUCAAGCGUUGUUCGGAUUCAUUGGGCGUAAAGGGUGCGUAGGUGGCGCCGUAAGUCAGGUGUGAAAUUUCGGAGCUUAACUCCGAAACUGCAUUUGAUACUGCGGUGCUUGAGGACUGGAGAGGAGACUGGAAUUCACGGUGUAGCAGUGAAAUGCGUAGAUAUCUGGAGGAAUACCGGUGGCGAAGGCGGCAUCCUGGACCGGCAUUGACGCUGAUGAGCGAAAGCUAGGGGAGCAAACGGG
rnacentral:rRNA from 1 species